GCCCUCACGUUUCUCCAUGUAACCCAUGGUCUGUCGACUCCACUGACCGAAGCGCACCUCGCUCAGAUUGUCAGACAGGUGCAGACACGGGUGAGCAGUGUUGGGGUCGAGGAUGACAGGAACUAUAGAGGAAAAAGAGAGCAGUAAUCCUGGCCGCCUCUUCGUCACGCAGAAACUGCUGAAGCUGCUCAAACUCCUUCUUAAUAUGUGCUUCUGUUUGCUCGGCUUGGUUCUGUAACACAGUUAAAAGAUGAAUUUCUCUGAUUUUAAAAGUUUGAGCUUCUCUUGCAAAGGCUUCAGUCUUGUUUUGAGCACCUCCUGAAAAGAAAGUUGAAAAGGUAGCUUAGAAUAAUAUUAUGUAAUGUAUCUCAAUAGAUAUUUUAUUAUGCAUCUUUGCCUCUGGUCUCUGUGCUGCUCUUCCAGUGAACAAAAGGUCAGAUCAGAACGGACACAAAACACUUGAUACAGAAGGCAGUUCAGUUCCUUAGUUAAGACCGUUUGAUCGCUGCAGGUUCUCCCUGAACAUCAUGUUUGUGAAGAACAUUAGGCUUUUAGUCAAGCUUUUGCAGUUCAAAUUAUAUCUCUCUCAAAUAUAUAUCUAAAUCUUAUCUAUAACUUUAUCUAAAGUGAUUGACCAAUAUGGGAUUUUAAAUGUCCAAUUCCUAAUACUAAUAUCUAAAAAGGCAACAUAAUAUGGAUGGAUAUGGAUGAUUGGGAUGGAUGGAUGAAUGGAUAUGGAUGAAUUGAUUUGGGAUAGAUAG